GACGAACGCUGGCGGCGUGCUUAACACAUGCAAGUCGAACGGAAAGGCCCUGCUUUUGUGGGGUGCUCGAGUGGCGAACGGGUGAGUAACACGUGAGUAACCUGCCCUUGACUUUGGGAUAACUUCAGGAAACUGGGGCUAAUACCGGAUAGGAGCUCCUGCUGCAUGGUGGGGGUUGGAGAGUUUCGGCGGUUGGGGAUGGACUCGCGGCUUAUCAGCUUGUUGGUGGGGUAGUGGCUUACCAAGGCUUUGACGGGUAGCCGGCCUGAGAGGGUGACCGGCCACAUUGGGACUGAGAUACGGCCCAGACUCCUACGGGAGGCAGCAGUGGGGAAUAUUGCACAAUGGGCGGAAGCCUGAUGCAGCAACGCCGCGUGCGGGAUGACGGCCUUCGGGUUGUAAACCGCUUUCGCCUGUGACGAAGCGUGAGUGACGGUAAUGGGUAAAGAAGCACCGGCUAACUACGUGCCAGCAGCCGCGGUGAUACGUAGGGUGCGAGCGUUGUCCGGAUUUAUUGGGCGUAAAGGGCUCGUAGGUGGUUGAUCGCGUCGGAAGUGUAAUCUUGGGGCUUAACCCUGAGCGUGCUUUCGAUACGGGUUGACUUGAGGAAGGUAGGGGAGAAUGGAAUUCCUGGUGGAGCGGUGGAAUGCGCAGAUAUCAGGAGGAACACCAGUGGCGAAGGCGGUUCUCUGGGCCUUUCCUGACGCUGAGGAGCGAAAGCGUGGGGAGCGAACAGGCUUAGAUACCCUGGUAGUCCACGCUGUAAACGGUGGGUACUAGGUGUGGGGUCCAUUCCACGGGUUCCGUGCCGUAGCUAACGCUUUAAGUACCCCGCCUGGGGAGUACGGCCGCAAGGCUAAAACUCAAAGGAAUUGACGGGGCCCCGCACAAGCGGCGGAGCAUGCGGAUUAAUUCGAUGCAACGCGUAGAACCUUACCUGGGUUUGACAUGGAUCGGGAGUGCUCAGAGAUGGGUGUGCCUCUUUUGGGGUCGGUUCACAGGUGGUGCAUGGCUGUCGUCAGCUCGUGUCGUGAGAUGUUGGGUUAAGUCCCGCAACGAGCGCAACCCUUGUUCACUGUUGCCAGCACGUUAUGGUGGGGACUCAGUGGAGACCGCCGGGGUCAACUCGGAGGAAGGCGGGGAUGACGUCAAGUCAUCAUGCCCCUUAUGUCCAGGGCUUCACGCAUGCUACAAUGGCUGGUACAGGGAGUGGCGAGCCUGUGAGGGUGAGCGAAUCUCGGAAAGCCGGUCUCAGUUCGGAUUGGGGUCUGCAACUCGACCUCAUGAAGUCGGAGUCGCUAGUAAUCGCAGAUCAGCAACGCUGCGGUGAAUACGUUCCCGGG
rnacentral:rRNA from 1 species